rnacentral:sRNA from 1 species
GAUCUGGUCACCAAGAACCUUAUUAGUUUUCCCAGGAGAAGCUCAAACAAGGCUUGUCUGGCUCCCCAAUUUCAGAGAUGAAGACAUCAAAGACCAGUCAGAGGAGAGGUGACAGCUGAGGCGAAGGUGAUUGAAUUGGACAUGAAAUUCAUGAGGUUCAGUCCAAUGUGGGGGCACUGAGGCAUAAAAAGGACAUGGGACAAGGGAGGGAUACCUGGGACCUUGGAGAAGAACUUCCAAAUUGCUGGAUGGAGAUAUUUGCUGAGAUGGUGAUGUUCACAGAAGUACGAACUGGCAAAGGUGGGCUGAAUCAGGACCUACUUUGCUGAAAGAGAAGGCUGUGAGUGGAGAACUACAAACACUCGAGUGAUGUCAGUAUCACCCCAAGUAAGUCUUGUGCUGGAAGCCUUAGUUUGUUGGGUUUGUGGCUGAAAUCCCCCUCGUUUGAUUGCAUAGUACUCUCUGCCCAGGAAACAGAGAGCAGUGGUUGCAGUCAAUGAUCUGAUCCUCUGCCCUUGACUAGUUGUGCUUUGUCUGAUUCUUAGGAAGACUUACAUCACUGGCUUAAAUGUCUGUAAGAACGAGUAGCUGGUUGAUCAUCAGAUCCUAAUAAUCUAACGACUAAGGCAUAAGUAAAUAGUAGACCACGUAAAAUGUACAAGUUCAUGGCUGGAAUCAACUUUAGUUUUCAUUGAAUUAAACCAAUUCAUUUUACAAAGACAACACAAAA